GACGAACGCUGGCGGCGUGCUUAACACAUGCAAGUCGAACGGUCAAGCGCCUUCCUUUUUGCUGGGUGUGGAUGAGUGGAGAACGGGUGAGUAACACGUUAGUAUCCUUCUCCCUUCUGCUUGAUAACCGCAUGAAAGUGUUGCUAAUACGGGAUAUUCUGGGUCUGUCGCAUGAUGGGUCUGGGAAAGAUAUUGUUUCGGUGGGGGAUGGGCUCGCGGCGUAUUAGCUUGUUGGUGAGGUGACGGCCUACCAAGGCGGCGAUGAGUAGCCGACCUGAGAGGGUGAUCGGCGACACUGGAAGUGAGACACGGUCCAGACGACUACGGGAGGCAGCAGUAGGGAAUAUUCCGCAAUGGGCGAAAGACUGAUGGAGCAACGCCGCGGGAGGGAGGAAGGUCGUCGGAUCGUAGAGCUCUGUUAUUGGGGAAGAACAAAGGUGGAAGUGUCUAUGCACGUCUUGACGGUACCUAAUCAGAAAGCCACGGCUAACUACGUG
rnacentral:rRNA from 1 species